AUGAUGACAGGAUACCUCAAAUAUAAAGGAGUGCAUGCCUGUGAAGAAAGAGUUGGGAAGGCAUUGCAGGCAAUUCAACCUCAAAACCAUGAAGCACGUCAACAUGGGGCCCGAAACCUUAACCCGACACCAUACAGAGCAGAUUAUAUGGGCCAGAAAAUACAUAUUGAUCAAAACGAAAAAAUGGUGAUGUAUGGGGUCACGCAUGUUGUGGCUAUUGAUGGUUUCAGCGGAAAACUUGUGGCACAUUCCACUAUGCCCAUUAAGAACAAUCUUACAAUCUAUGAUGAGAUUUACAGAAAAGCGGUUCUUGAACAUGGCAUGUGGGACCAGAUUCGGGUUGACUGUGGAACAGAAUUUUAUCUUACACUUUUUAUGCAAGAGAAGUUGGCUGGGUACCGUUACAAUCAGAGUCAACCACCAUUCCUUCAGACACCUUCAACUUUAAAUCAUCGCAUUGAGAGAGUCUGGCCAGAGGUGAACAACAGGGUAAACUAUCCAAUUAAAAGAUGCCUAAUGAACCUGGAAGAUCAGGAAAUCAUAAAUUUUGGGGACGACACUGUAAAAUUCUGCAUAUCCACUCUGGCAUGUCAUUUUUUUUAGAUAUAUAAAAUAUCUAUCUAUCUAUCUAUCUAUCUAUCUAUCUAUCUAUCUAUCUAUCUAUCUAUCUAUCUAUAUAUAGUUUCUAGUUUCUCAUAUAUAUAUAUAUAUAUAUAUAUAUAUAUAUAUAUAUAUAUAUAUAUAUAUAUAUAUAUAUAUAUAUAUAUAUAUAUAUAUAUAUAUAUAUAUAUAUAUAUAUAUAUAUAUAUAUAUAUAUAUAUAUAUAUACAUAUAUAUAUAUAUGUGAGGAGAGGAGAGUAAAGGUGUUACUUAAUGUAACUUUGGUAUUUUGUAGGCAGAGGAAUACCUAACCAACUGGCGCAGACAGGCUGUCCAAACAAGGUGACUGAAACCUUACUGCUCAGUGCGUCUGUGGCGGCUGACCUAUAUGAGGCAGAGAGACAGUCAUCAUUGACAAGAAUGUCCUCUUUUGGCCAAAAUCCCUUCCACACUCCAGAAGAACAACAGCAUGCAGAGCUACGUUUUGCUCAGUCAUUUCCAGACACAACAGUGAUUUGGGAGUGCAUUACAAGAGGUGAACCCACAAUGUUCCAGGAUGCACUGUUGUUUCUGAUUAAUCUGUUGUCCUGAUCUGAGAAAACCUGUCUGUAGCUCUUUUAGCAAAUUAUUUUCAAAUAAUUUAAGCAUUGUUUCUAUGCUGAAAAAUAUUAAAUGUUCUAUAAUGUUCAGCCUUGAAGAUGUUAAAGAUUUUGUGAUUUGGCAGAUGCUUUUACCAAAGUGACUUGGAAAGGUGUAUUAUAAAAUUGUUUAAAAGAAUAUUUGUUGAAAUUGUUUUAAGAAAACUUGGAAAAUAAACAUAGGUUAGAAAAAACA
rnacentral:lncRNA from 1 species